rnacentral:lncRNA from 1 species
CGCCUACUGUGUGCCCUGCGCCGGGCUCGGAGCCCAACGAGGACCCAGAUAGCUACGAGCUACCCUCCCCAAGCGCUCAGGCCGAGGCGGCUUAUAUUCUGGUCGCUUAAUACCUUCAGUUUCCCCGGUUCCCUGAAAAGCUAGGCGCAUACCCCACGAAGCUGCUCAAUACAUGUGUGUUGAAUAAAUAAGUGAUUGAGAGCUAUGUGUUUUUAAGCUUUAGAUCUGAUCCUAGUUUCUCGGCGGCACUACUGUUAUUUACGAGACCACGGAGGUAAAGGGCCCUGACUCAAACCCGGGAGCUCCUGGUUCCCAUCCUGCCACUUGUUUACUGUGUGACCUUGGGCAAAUGACUUCACCUCUCCGCUCCUCCAUUUCCAAGAAGAAAUCAAUACUAGGUCUCACUUAGAGGGUUAGUAGGAGAAAAUGACUUCUCUCGGAGAGCGGAACCUGACAGGAAGCGCCAGAUAAGUGCAGACCGUUAUUAUUAUUGAUUAUUAUAUAAAAAGGGAACCUGAUCAACUCCAGAACUUAACACACGCAUUGCUCCAAACAGAAAACAGUGGUCAAUCUAUGACUAACGUGGUGGUCAUCCGCCACCCACUGAGAUAGGGGACCCUUAGGGAACAGCCAUAUACACAGACAUUAUUUUGGAGCAGCUUUAUUAUUUGUUGGCUAAGAUUGACACUCAGUUACACAGCUUGAAUCCUGUCUCGAUGGCUUUUUUCCAGUCUUCACCAGGAAGAGACCCUCAGUCACCUCUAUCUAGAGACCUUUAGUUAGUCCCAUCUUACGGGCGUAGAAAACUAAACUGGCCCAAAGAGGGAAAGUGUUUUGCCCAAGCUCCCACAAGCAGGAAGUGAGACCUGAUCUGAGCCAGGUGCCACUCCUGGCUCUCAGAGCUGCUGACCCUGGGGAACCUCAGAACUUGGGAACUGACUGGGGUUCCAAGUUAGCAGAUUUGAGGCGCUGCAGGGGAUGACUGUCCAAGUUCACUCAUCCAGGAAGUAUUGUUGAUGAGUAUCUAGUGUGGGUGGGGAAUAUAGUGUCACCCUGGUUCCUGCCCCAUCGAUACCCCUACCCCACCCCCACCCCCAGCCACUGUCUAUUAGGGGAUACAGACAAUGAGAAAAUAAGCAAAUAGGUCUCUUAGCCUGUUUCCCUGGCCCUCAGUGGCAGAGUUGCCAUGAGCUAAAUUGUAGGUUGCAGAUGUUCAGAUCCCAUUGUGGCUGUGGCUGUGGCUGUGGUGUAGGCCAGCAGCUGCAGUUCUGAUUUGCCCCCUAGCCUGGGAGCCUAGGAACUUACAUAUGCCGUGGGUUCAGCCCUAAAAAGCAAAAAAAAAAAAAAGAAAGAAAAGUUCUGCUAAACAAUGAGAUAAUGCCCACACAAACAGGCAUUCUCCAUCUCUUAGGAAGAUGGUCUGAAGACCAGGAGGCUUGUAUUGUGCCUGGGUGUGAAAGAAGCCCCCAAUCUGGCCAUGGCUGGCAAAGCCCUGGGAGGUCAAACAUCCAAGGCCAGAGGAGAGGUCGACAUGGUCCCCAAAUUUUAAGAGACCUGCUCUUCUUGGGGGGGGGCAACCCUUCCCUUUGAGAAUCAGAUGCAAGACGUGAGUUCUAGGUUAGGAGUAGAGGUGAUGGUGAAACCCUAAGUGAUUCAGCAACUUGCCCCAGGGAUACCAAGCCAGGGUAGGGACUAAUGCAGUCACCCAUGUUCACUCACUUUGUCCCUUAGUCACCAGCAAACCUGGGCAAAGUCCCGUCUCCAGCUCCUUCAUGCAGUGGGACUGUAGACUCAGACACCAAAAUCCACCCCCGAUAUUUUAUUUUCUUAUUUACUUACUUAUUUUUCCCUCCCAAUAUUUUAUUACGAACAUUUUCAAAU